rnacentral:rRNA from 1 species
UAACGCGUGGGAAUCUACCCGCUCUACGGAAUAACCCAGGGAAACUUGGACUAAUACCGUAUACGUCCUUCGGGAGAAAGAUUUAUCGGAGUUGGAUGAGCCCGCGUUGGAUUAGCUAGUUGGUGGGGUAAAGGCCUACCAAGGCGACGAUCCAUAGCUGGUCUGAGAGGAUGAUCAGCCACACUGGGACUGAGACACGGCCCAGACUCCUACGGGAGGCAGCAGUGGGGAAUAUUGGACAAUGGGCGCAAGCCUGAUCCAGCCAUGCCGCGUGAGUGAUGAAGGCCCUAGGGUUGUAAAGCUCUUUCAACGGUGAAGAUAAUGACGGUAACCGUAGAAGAAGCCCCGGCUAACUUCGUGCCAGCAGCCGCGGUAAUACGAAGGGGGCUAGCGUUGUUCGGAAUUACUGGGCGUAAAGCGCACGUAGGCGGAUCGAUCAGUUAGGGGUGAAAUCCCAGGGCUCAACCCUGGAACUGCCUCUAAUACUGUCGAUCUGGAGUUCGAGAGAGGUGAGUGGAAUUCCGAGUGUAGAGGUGAAAUUCGUAGAUAU